rnacentral:tRNA from 1 species
GCCAGUUUGGCUCAGUGGUUAGAGUGUCGGCCUGUGGACCGAAAGGUCGCAGGUUCGAUUCCUGGUCUAGGGCA